rnacentral:lncRNA from 1 species
UUCUAUUUAUAUUGAUGCUAUUGAUGCCUGUUUACUUGUUUUGAUGUCUGUCUCCUCCUUUCUAGACUGUGAGCCUGUUGUUGUUGAAUUUUACUUUCCAAGCACUUAGUACAGUGCUCUGCAAACAGUAAGUGCUCAAUACACACAAUUGAACGAAUGAAUGAAGUGCCUGGGCCAGCACUGUGGUCUUUUGGAUGGAGAGGAAGUAACUUAUGGCCCCAAACUCCCAAACUACCAGAAUGCCAGGAGAGUGUUGUGCAUGUGACACUGGAAGAUCUUCACCUUCUGGGAAAUCGAAAAGCAUAACCAAGGCCUGGCUCUUUGCCCGUCUCUGGCCCGUUCCUGCCAGGACCUGACCUUCCCCCCGGAGAACCAGCUGAAGCCAUCUUGCUGAAGGACUUCCUGUUUCCACAGAAACUUGACUCUGUAGACCGAUGCUCGUCCAUGUUUCCACUUGAUUAAAACCGAAGUUGAAAGUAAGUUUCAUUGUUGUGUGUUGCAAUUUUCGCAGACCCAAGCCUGACCCAAAUCUCUAUGGUGUAGUGGAUAGAGCACCGGCCUGUCAGGCCAUGGGUUCUAAUUACGCUCCACCACGAGUCUGUGUGACCUUGGGCAAGUCCUUAUCUGGGUCUCGGUUCCCUCAUCUGUAAAAUGAGGAUUGAGACUGAGCCCUACGUGGGACAGGGACUGUGUCCAACCUGACCGGCUUGUGUCCACCUCAGCACUUAAUACAGUACCUAACACAUAGUAAGCGCGUAAUACCAUAA